GGAGCUGUACAGCUCAAGUGGUAGAGCAUGUGCUUAGCAUGCACAAGGUCCUGGGUUCACUCCCCAGUACCUCCU
rnacentral:tRNA from 1 species